UUUCCGUAGGUGAACCUGCGGAAGGAUCAUUAUUGAAUGAAACACUUCUGGCUUUAUGCUGUUGUGCUGGCCCUUUGGGCAAUGUGCACACGGCUCUGGUCACUUGUUUCUUCUGUCCCACCUGUGCACUGCCUGUAGACACGCUGUGUCUAUGAUAUUUGUUAACACACAACAAUGUUAGUUGGCAUGUUAUAUAUAAUAAUGAAAUAUACAACUUUCAACAACGGAUCUCUUGGCUCUC
rnacentral:misc_RNA from 1 species